rnacentral:rRNA from 1 species
UACAGAGGUCCCAAGCGUUGUUCGGAAUCAUUGGGCGUAAAGGGUGCGUAGGUGGCGUCGUAAGUCGGGUGUGAAAUCUCGGGGCUUAACUCCGGAACUGCAUUCGAUACUGCGGUGCUUGAGGACUGGAGAGGAGACUGGAAUUUACGGUGUAGCAGUGAAAUGCGUAGAGAUCGUAAGGAAGACCAGUGGCGAAGGCGGGUCUCUGGAAAGUUCCUGACACUGAGGCACGAAGGCCAGGGGAGCAAACGGG